GAUGAACGCUGGCGGCGUGCUUAAUACAUGCAAGUCGAACGGAGACUGUAGCAAUGCUGUCUUAGUGGCGAACGGGUGAGUAACGCGUUGGUGACCUGCCCCGAAGAGGGGGAUAACAGUCCGAAAGGAUUGCUAAUACCCCAUGUGGUCGUUUGGAUUAGAUGCCUUACGACUAAACGGAUUUAUUCGCUUCGGGAGGGGCCUGCGUCCCAUCAGCUAGUUGGUAGGGUAAUAGCCUACCAAGGCGAUGACGGGUAGGGGACCUGAGAGGGUGGCCCCCCACAAUGGAACUGAAACACGGUCCAUACACCUACGGGUGGCAGCAGUAGGGAAUAUUGGUAAUCUGGGAAACCGGGAACCAGCAACGCCGCGUGCGCGAUGAAGGCCUUCGGGUUGUAAAGCGCUUUUUAAAGGGAUGAGGAAGGACAGUACCUUUAGAAUAAGCCUCGGCUAACUACGUG
rnacentral:rRNA from 1 species